AGCACUGGCUGACGCCCCGGAAGCACUGGCUGGCACCGAGAAAGCCAAAAAGCCGGUGGGACGGAGCUACCCGCCCCCCAGUAAGAAGGGGAUCAGGACGCAGGGAAACAGCCCAAGUGGCAGGACGGGUGUCACUGCCACACAAAGCCCAGCAGGCCAAAAAACUCUCACUCCAGAGUUAGGCAGACAGAACGUCAGUUAGAGAGCCACCAGGAACGCUCCAGCCCGGUGGGCGGAAGGGAAGCCGCCAUUACAGAAACCGGCCUAAUUUUCCUGAGGAGAGCAGUCCACAUGUGCGGUGACCUGCUGACACUUGGCAGGUGAACAUGCACAGUUUAUUUACUGGGGUUGUACAGAUGUUCACCUGAGGUUUUCUUCCCUUUUCCAGUGGAAUGCCCCUGUACUUGAACUGAGGAUAGUCAUCCCUGAACAGCCUCUGAAUUCCUGUACAUUAAUAAGCCACCAACUAAACACAGGAUUUGGGAUUUGAUUAAUGAAGCCUGGAUCUUAUGCCUAACUCUGGAACUAGGGUGCACGUCAUGUUUAAAAGAACUAUGUAAACUGAAGGUGAGAAAUGGGGAUUCUUGAGGGAAAAUGAGAAUCCUGUUAUCAGCAAAACAAUAAAUGUUUGCACAUCCAGCAAAAACAAAGGAUUUAGUUUAUUCUUGACAAGUGAUACAAUAGUAUAUAAAUGCUCAUAGUUAUUGUACUAGGAAAGAGCUGUGUGAGUUUGAAAAUGCUACAUUAAUUCACCUAUUUCUUCAGAAAUGUAAGUGCUUCUCCCUUAUCAAUAUCAUCCCAGUCCUGUGGGUUUCUGUCAUUUCACAAUGCCCUUUCUAUGUUAGUCCUUUUUUACAUCACUCUAAAGAAAUACCUGAGGCUAGGUAAUUAUAUUAUAAAGACGAUAGAUUUAAUUUGCUCUAAUUCUGUACUCUGUACAAGCAUGGCACUGCCAUCUGCUCUGCUUCUUGCAUGAACUGAGUGAGAACCCAUUCACGACCGAAAGGAUGGUGUUAAACUGUUCAUGAGAGAUCCACAUCUAUAAAUCAGUAACUCCCACUUAGGCCCCACCUCCAACACUAGAGAUCACAUCUCAACAUGAGAUUUGGAGAGGACAAACAUUCAAACCACAUUGCCUUCUCUCUUCCUUGGCAGUUGUAUGCUAUCUAGACAGAAAAGUUCAAAUUGGCAUCCCUCAUCUAAUUCUCUAGAUAGAAAAUGGGUUUUGUGGGGCUGCAAUUUAUGAAUAAGUAAUUUUAAUUGAAUGCAGAAAACAUUCAGUUAUCUACUUAGAAUACCUUAAGCAGUAGGCACUCUGUCGUGUAUUACAUUAAGUAUAAACAUUAUUAAACCCCAGUUCCUGACUUUAUAGUAUAAAAGGUAACGUGAAGAGGAGCAAGCAACUCUUUGAAAUUCUGAAAAAUAAGAAUAACAGAUACAGUUAAAGAGCUGUACUAUCACUAGCACUGCAGCCAGCCUGAUUUUUUUCUUCAAAAUUAUAUACAGGCAUCCAUGAUUAAAAUACACAAAAUUCGAAAUGCUCCAAAGUCAAAACUUUUUUGGUAUCAACAUGACACUCCAAAGAAAUGCUUAUUGGAGCAUUUAUGAUUUCCAGUUUUCAGACUAGGGAUGCUAAGUAUAAUGCAAAUCUUUCAAAAUCUGAAAGAGUCAAAAAUCUAAAACAGGCUCCAAGCAUUUCAGAUAAGGGUUUCUCAAUCUGUAUAAAUUUAUUGUAUAUAUUAAAAAGUAAACUAGUUGUUGUUAUAGUACAACAUAAUCUAAAUAGUUAUAAAUUUUUAAGUAGACAAGGAAACCUAGAAAUACACUGAAAUAUUGUUGUGGAUGUAAUAGAUGAUAAAUGAAUUCAAAAUUAAACAUAUUUAAAAUCAGUGUAUAGAAUCAUCUGGAAAACAGACCAAAUAGUUGAAACAAUGUCUCCAAAAUUAUAAAUGCACACAAAUUUUGCCUCUGGUAUUUCAUAUACAGAAAUUUUC